rnacentral:rRNA from 1 species
UACGGAGGAUGCGAGCGUUAUCCGGGUUUAUUGGGUUUAAAGGGUGCGUAGGCGGGAUGCCAAGUCAGCGGUAAAAAUGCGGUGCUCAACGCCGUCGAGCCGUUGAAACUGGCGUUCUUGAGUGGGCGAGAAGUAUGCGGAAUGCGUGGUGUAGCGGUGAAAUGCAUAGAUAUCACGCAGAACUCCGAUUGCGAAGGCGGCAUACCGGCGCCCUGCUGACGCUGAGGCACGAAAGCGUGGGUAUCGAACAGG